AUACGAAGGGGGCUAGCGUUGUUCGGAAUUACUGGGCGUAAAGGGCGCGUAGGCGGCCGAUUAAGUUAGAUGUGAAAGUCCUGGGCUCAACCUGGGGACUGCAUUUAAUACUGGUUGGCUUGAAUUCGGGAGAGGAUAGCGGAAUUCCCAGUGUAGAGGUGAAAUCCGUAGAUAUUGGGAAGAACACCGGUGGCGAAGGCGGCUAUCUGGACCGACAUUGACGCUGAGGCGCGAAAGCGUGGGGAGCAAACA
rnacentral:rRNA from 1 species